rnacentral:rRNA from 1 species
UCAAGCGAACAAGGGCGCAGGGCGAAUGCCUUGGCACUGGGAGCCGAUGAAAGACGUGAUAAGCUGCGAUAAGCUUCGGGGAGCUGCAAAUAAGCAUUGAUCCGGAGAUUUCUGAAUGAGGAAACUCACCUGGGUUCAUACUCAGGUACGUUAUACUGAACUUAAAAAUAGGUAUAUCGAGGGAACCGCCUGAACUGAAACAUCUAAGUAGGGCGAGGAAGAGACAUCAAACGAGAUUCCGUAAGUAGUGGCGAGCGAACGCGGAAGAGGGCAAACCGGGAGUAGAAAUACUUCCGGGGUACGGACUGCUUUUAGGACUUAAUCUGUUAACCGAACGGCAUGGGAAGGCCGGUCAGAGAGUGUGAGAACCACGUAGGUGAAAACGGAGAGAGCUGCGCAGAAUCCAGAGUACGGCCAGACACGUGAAACCUGGUCGGAAUAUGGGGGGACCACCCUCCAACCCUAAAUACUACCCAGUGACCGAUAGCGUAUAGUACUGUGAAGGAAAGGUGAAAAGCACCCCGGGAGGGGAGUGAAAAAGAACCUGAAACCCUGUGCCUACAAGCACCUAGAGCACGUCAAUGUGUGAUAGGGUACUUUUUGUAGAACGGUCCGGCGAGCGAUUGUAUGCAGCAAGGUUAAGGACUUAAGGUCUGGAGCCGAAGCGAAAGCGAGUUUGAAAAGGGCGUUAAGUUGCAUACAAUGGGCCCGAAACCGGGUGACCUACCCAUGGUCAGGUUGAAGUGGAAGUAAAAUUCCAUGGAGGACCGAACCGACCUCCGUUGAAAAGGCGGCGGAUGAACUGUGGGUAGCGGAGAAAUUCCAAUCGAACCCGGAGAUAGCUGGUUCUCCCCGAAAUAGUUUUAGGACUAGCCUCAAGUUAGAUACCUGGAGGUAAAGCACUGAAUAGCCUAGCGGCCGAGAGGUUAGCGAAGCUUAUCAAACUCAGAAUGCCAGAGUAUUGAUGCUUGGGAGUCAGACAGUGUCAGAUAAAUGUCAUUGUCAAAAGGGAAACAGCCCAGAUCUACAGCUAAGGUCCCAAAGUCAGGUUAAGUGGAAAACGAUGUGAAGAUACGUAGACAACCAGGAUGUUGGCUCAGAAGCAGCCACACAUUCAAAGAGUGCGUAAUAGCUCACUGGUCGAGCGUCUUUGCGCGGAGAAUUUAACGGGGCUAAACCUGACACCGAAGCUUAGGCAAUACAGCAAUGUAUUGGGUAGGGGAGCGUUGUAUACGCGGUGAAACAGUAGCGCAAGCGGCUGUGGAGUGUAUAGAAGUGAGAAUGCCGGAAUGAGUAGCGCGAAUGCAGUGAGAAUCUGCAUGGCCGAAAGCCUCAGGUUUCUGGAGGAAGGUUCGUCCGCUCCAGGUUAGUCGGGAGCUAAGGUGAGGCCUAACGGCGUAGCCGAUGCACAGACGGUAGAGAUUCCGUCACCACCAAAAGAGUUAAACACAGGGACACAUUUGAAGUCUCGGAGCCGGGUGUUGGUUCCGGUAGCGAUCGAGGGAAAUUAGUACCGAAGUCCGGGAUGGAAGAUGGCGAGAAAAGCUGUGUGUAUUUCUGCGGUGCCCGUACCGCAAACCGACACAGGUAGGUAGGAAGAAGAUUCUAAGGCCAACGGGAGAAGGGUUGUUAAGGAACUCGGCAAAUUGACCCCGUAACUUCGGGAGAAGGGGUGCUCCAGAGAUGGAGCCGCAGAGAAUCGGCCCAAGCAACUGUUUACCAAAAACACAGGUUUGUGCUAAAUCGAAAGAUGACGUAUACGAGCUGACGCCUGCCCGGUGCUGGAAGGUUAAGAGGAGAUGUGCAAGCAUUGAAUCGAAGCCCCAGUGAACGGCGGCCGUAACUAUAACGGUCCUAAGGUAGCGAAAUUCCUUGUCAGGUAAGUUCUGACCCGCA